AUUAUGUAUUUGUGCUGCACUGUUGUUCAAGCCAUCAUUGGGUCAAAAAUAAUGUCAAUUUUUAAAUCUCUGCCUUUCCAGGUCAACAAGUUCAAUCCAAUGGGAGAUGUUUUAGGAUCUGGGAUGGGAGUGAACAUCCUAGUGUGGAACAGAGGGGAGACAUUGGCUGGUAAGCAGCAGAGAGGAGAGCUACAACAGGAAGCAGGAGUCCAGGUUGGCAGAGGUCGAGACCAGCGGAGGAGAAGAGGGGAGACUCGGAGGGGGGGAGGGACGGGGGGGGGGCGGGGGGGAGAGGAUGAGGACGACAUUGGGAAGCUGAAGAAGAAGCUGUCUUCGUCCUCGGGGACCAGAACCAGAACAUCCAGGGACACAGAAGGGUCCAAAUAAAUAAUCAGGGAGAAAGAGAGAGGUUUAUUGUGUGUUUCCUUUAUUUUGGUAGUUACCCGACAAUGUCAUAGACAAGUAACUACCAAAAUAAAGGAAACACCAACAUACAGUGUUUUAAUAGGGUGUUGGACCACCACCAACCAACCAGAACAGAUUCAAUGCUCCUUGGUAUAGAUUCUACAAGUGUCUGGAACUCUAUUGGAGGGACGCGACACCAUUCUUCCACCAGAAAUUACAUCAUUUGGUGUUUUGUUGAUGGUGGUGGAAAAACACUGUCUCAGGCGGCGCUCCAGAAUCUCCCAAGAGUGUUCAAUUGGGUUGACUGAUACACAUCCUCUAUGUUCCUUUGAGAGCCCUCUUUCAGUCACUGAGAUCUGGUGACUGAGACACAUCCUCUAUGUUCCUUUGAGAGCCCUCUUUCAGUCACUGAGGUCUGGUGACUGAUACACAUCCUCUAUGUUCCUUUGAGAGCCCUCUUUCAGUCACUGAGAUCUGGUGACUGAGACACAUCCUCUAUGUUCUUUGGAGAGCCCUCUUUCAGUCACUGAGAUCUGGUGACUGAGACACAUCCUCUAUGUUCUUUGGAGAGCCCUCAUUCAGUCACUGAGAUCUGGUGACUGAGACACAUCCUCUCUGUUCCUCUGAGAGCCCUCUUUCAGUCACUGAGAUCUGGUGACUGAGACACAUCCUCUAUGUUCCUUUGAAAGCCCUCUUUCAGUCACUGAGAUCUCUUCUUCUAGCCAUAAUGGGCAACUCGGCAUAUUUUUUUUUUACCUGACCCUAAGCAUGAUGGGAUGUUAAUUUCUUAAUUACCUCAGGAACAACACCUGUGUGGAAGCACCUACUUUCAAUUUACUGUGUAUCAUUUACUCAAGUGUUUAUUUUAUUUAGUCAUUUUCCUGUCUGCAUUUGUAAUCUGUUACCUUUGUCUUGUUCAAAUCAUGUGUUUUAUUGAAAAUGUUCCAUUCCCUUUGUUAUAAACAGGAACAAUCGUGGCUUUGACUCCACACAACACAACAUCCACAGAUGUUUCAAUCGUGGCUUUGACUCCACACAACAUCCACAGAUGUUUCAAUCGUGGCUUUGACUCCACACAACACAACAUCCACAGAUGUUUCAAUCGUGGCUUUGACUCCACACAACACAACAUCCACAGAUGUUUCAAUCGUGACUUUGACUCCACACAACACAACAUCCACAGAUGUUUCAAUCGUGGCUUUGACUCCACACAACACAACAUCCACAGAUGUUUCAAAUAUGUCUUACAACACUGACAACACAUAUCUUGUGUUUCAGAUGUUUUAUAUAUCUCUGUUUCUGGUGAUAAAUUGUUACGUUUUAUAAACAGUUCAUACUUUAUUAAAACAUUUAAUUUUGAGCUUGAACUUGAUUGUGUAUUUAUUCUUCACCUUAAACUGAUGAAUAGUUAGCCUGGUACCUUAAACUGAUGAAUAGUUAGCCUGGUCCCUUAAACUGAUGAAUAGUUAGCCUGGUACCUUAAACUGAUGAAUAGUUAGCCUGGUACCUUAAACGGAUGAAUAGUUAGCCUGGUCCCUUGAACUGAUGAAUAGUUAGCCUGGUACCUUAAACUGAUGAAUAGUUAGCCUGGUACCUUAAACUGAUGAAUAGUUAGCCUGGUACCUUAAACUGAUGAAUAGUUAGCCUGGUACCUUAAACUGAUGAAUAGUUAGCCUGGUACCUUAAACUGAUGAAUAGUUAGCCUGGUACCUUAAACUGAUGAAUAGUUAGCCUGGUCCCUUAAACUGAUGAAUAGUUAGCCUGGUACCUUAAACUGAUGAAUAGUUAGCCUGGUACCUUAAACUGAUGAAUAGUUAGCCUGGUACCUUAAACUGAUGAAUAGUUAGCCUGGUCCCUUAAACUGAUGAAUAGUUAGCCUGGUACCUUAAACUGAUGAAUAGUUAGCCUGGUACCUUAAACUGAUGAAUAGUUAGCCUGGUACCUUAAACUGAUGAAUAGUUAAUCUAGUCCCUUAAACUGAUGAAUAGUUAGCCUGGUACCUUCAACUGAUGAAUAGUUAGCCUGGUCCCUGUUGAAGGAAUUCUAAAUUCCUCUGUUUUAUUUCCCAAUCAGAAUUAAACACUCUGUCAAUGCAUUUAAGGGUUUGUAAGACCCUAUAUAUUUUAUAAGAAUGGACAGAGCCCCGGUCUUAAAAGUCAGGUAACAGCGUUUAAUUCAAGAGAGUACUGGUAUAUACACAUUUUUCCACAGGUUAUAAACUGAAAAUGACGUCAGCGUUUUCUAAAUGUUCUCUUCAUGACACCGGUAGAGAGGCCCUAUAGUUUUUGAGCCUUCCCUCCUCUCCUAAAGCCAAGGUCAGUCAGUGUAGAUUAGCAUUCUAGACAGUCUGGAGAUAGUCCGUCCCUGCCAUCUGGAGAUAGUUCAUUCAUUUGUACCAAGGCACUGUUCUAAACUCCUGACUAUAUUAUAUACAAUUGGGAAUGGGAGCAAGAGAGAAAAUUCAUACAUGUACAGUACAUAAUAGCAUUUGGACAAGUCAGUCCUGAUUGAAAUGUAUACAUAAUUAGUCAUCAUUGAUAAACGGUAGUGUAGUAAACAGAGUGUACAGAGUGUACGGUAGUGUAGUAAACAGAGUGAGUACGGUAGUGUAGUAAACAGAGUGAGUACGGUAGUGUAGUAAACAGAGUGAGUACGGUAGUGUAGUAAACAGAGUGAGUACGGUAGUGUAGUAAACAGGGAGUACGGUAGUGUAGUAAACAGAGUGAGUACGGUAGUGUAGUAAACAGGGUGAGUACGGUAGUGUAUUAGACAGAGUGAGUACAGUAGUGUAUUAAACAGAGUGAGUACGGUAGUGUAGUAAACAGAGUGAGUACGGUAGUGUAGUAAACAGAGUGAGUACGGUAGUGUAUUAUUAGACAGAGUGAGUACAGUAGUGUAGUAAACAGAGUGAGUACAGUAGUGUAGUAAACAGAGUGAGUACGGUAGUGUAUUAUUAGACAGAGUGAGUACGGUAGUGUAUUAUUAGACAGAGUGAGUACAGUAGUGUAGUAAACAGAGUGAGUACGGUAGUGUAUUAUUAGACAGAGUGAGUACAGUAGUGUAGUAAACAGAGUGAGUACAGUAGUGUAGUAAACAGAGUGAGUACGGUAGUGUAUUAUUAGACAGAGUGAGUACAGUAGUGUAUUAAACAGAGUGAGUACAGUAGUGUAGUAAACAGAGUGAGUACAGUAGUGUAGUAAACANNNNNNNNNNNNNNNNNNNNNNNNNNNNNNNNNNNNNNNNNNNNNNNNNNNNNNNNNNNNNNNNNNNNNNNNNNNNNNNNNNNNNNNNNNNNNNNNNNNNCAACACGCGCACACACACACACACACAAACACACAGGGUUGCAGAUUGCACAUAAAAUAAGUACAGUGCAAUCUUAUUCCAUUCUCAUUCAUUUGUUUACAAAUAUUCCUAAAUGUAUUGACACCGGUAU
ensembl:lncRNA